GGGAUGCUAUCUGAGGCCUUUUGGGAGGCCGCGAGGGUCUGGCCCCGAGCGCCGACCUCUUCCUCACCGCAUGUUGCCGAAUGUCGGCAUCUGUCAGCCUCACCCUCGACGGCAUGCCUGCAAUUUCAACAAAGGAUCAGCACAAGUCCAAAGACGGAUAAAGAAGAUAAAAAUGAUCGACCGACCAAACAGUACCUAAAUGGGGAACCGAACUCAGGCCGGC
rnacentral:lncRNA from 1 species